UCCAUCUAUCUACUUUCGGCAGUUUUCUUAUAUUAAAAACUUACUACUAAAUUUCUGCAAAUAAGAAUAAGGGUUGCGCCCGUUAAUGGAGCCAACCAAACAUCUCAAAACACGAGCUAACGACAGCCAUGCAGCACCUGUCCACUGUUCAAAUAUCCAAUAUAAAAAUCAAAUAUUUUGCCUUUCCUCAAAGACUUAAACAGCGAUUCAAAGACUGGUAAGGUUUUGCGCGUUAUAUCGCAUUAAACCAGAUGCUCCACCGCUUGUUCGGACCUCCGUCAAUUCCUUUGAGUUUCAACCUUGCGACUUUAGUACCCAGGCGGAAUGUUUACGCGUUAGCUUAAAUACCGAGAUUCUUCCCGACACCUAACAUUCAUCGGUCAGGGCGUGGACUAC
rnacentral:misc_RNA from 1 species